rnacentral:tRNA from 1 species
UUUAAAGUGGCAGAAAAAUUAAUGUGUUGAAUUUAAGCUUCAAAGAUGAAAAAUUUAUUUUUUCCUUUAAAU